AGUCCACCUGCGCGGCUGAGUGGAGGAUGCUAGGUUGCUGUGCUGUUUCUCCUACUGUCUUGCUGCCGCACCACCCCUCAGAAAAACCGGGUCGUCAGUUUCCUGCGGUUUGCACUCACCAAAUAUACUUAGCAAUUUGCAAUUCACCCGCAGGAUUAUUCCAGCCUCUGUGAUCACACACAGAAGGAUGAGCCUUCCUCGUGAGGGUUGGAGAUGGAGGGAGAAGGGAUGGAGAGUAAGGAUGGGACGGAGGUUGUGGAGCAGCAGACCAACACGCCAGAAAGGAAAAUAAUGAUCAUCUCAAUUUUUAUAUGUGGAGGCAUUGCUUUUCUUCUUUGGGGGAUUUUAAGAUUUCCCAGAAAAUGUAAGUAAACAAUUUCUGCUAAAAUUAUUAAAUUAAAUUGUUAAAAUUAUUGUAUUAUUGAUUCAGUUGGAUACCAAUAACUAGUCUUUCCUUCCUUAAUAUAGAACAAUUUAGAGAUAAAAGCAUUUUCCAAGACAGUGCAUCUAAUUGCUCUUCAAACUUAGUCACCUGCUUCACCUUCUAGAAUAAUCAGUCUUUCAAUAAAUAUGUAUCAAGCUUUAGGCACAGUGCUGCCUGCUGAUGAUAUAACAAUGAAAAAAAAUGGUAUUUCUUGCCUGAAAGUAGUUUAUCUUUAACUGAAUAUGGAAGCAUGUAAGCAAACAACUGUAACACAAAAGAAAUAAUUACUAAAUAGAACUAUGUUGAAUUUGAAGCAGGAGAGGAGAUUAUAAGUUAGCUGCUUGUAGUCAAGGCUUUAAUGAAGGGAGAAAUAUUUGUGCUGAAUCUUAAACUCAAGUAGGCGUUUAUCAAAGAUCAUCUUAGAACACACAUGUCAGAGAAUCACACCAGGUAUAAUUAUGAUGGAGUUACAAAGAAGUAGGGUGAGGGACUGGCAAUUGUAUUAUAGUUCCCUAGUGCAUUAACUCUUUCACUGCCAUUCAUUAGCAAUUUAUACCUUGUCCUUCAUCUCCAUUCUCCUCAUGCUCAUUCUCAUGUCUAUACCCUUGCUUCCAACUUGUUCUAAUUUUAACAAUUUGUAGGAAACUUCCAAAUGCUCCCAUCACCACACCAGCUUACUUACUCCAUCUCUGCCCCUACACUCUGCCUAGACUCCUGGAACUGUAGAUGCAGUAUUCAUGUUCUACAAUAGAUCCUAUAUUCUUUCACUGGAUCAGUAAUAUCACCCUAGUAAUUCUCCACUCUCCUACAUUAUCCUUUUUUCAUCCUCAACUGAAACAUCUCCAUCAGCAAAUAUGACAUACUGGUAUCUAUAUCAACCUUGAAAAAAUAAACAACAAAAACAACAGAAUUUAUUAGACCCCACUUAUCUUUUAGCAACCAAUUUAUUGUUUUUCUCCUUGGUACAGCAACCUCUUUAAAACGGCUUUUCAAAAUAAUUUUUUAUCUUUCCUUUUUCUGUUAAAUCCACUUGGAUCAAGCUUCCACUCUGCUUUUUCCACCAAACUUGUCUUUCAAGUUCACCAAUAACUUCCAUAUUGCUAAAUCGACUGGUCCAUUCUCCCUCCUCACCUUAUUAUAUAACCUAUUUGCAGCUUUUGGCACUCCCUUUUUCUAAAAAAAAAAAAAAAUUUCAUUUGACUUACAUGACGCCAUAUUCUUGUGGUUUGCUUUCUACUCAUUUUACCAACAACCGUGAUUCCCUGAUUCUCCUUCACUCUGAUCUAUUUUACGACAAACUAUAUAAUUUCAGACGCAUAAGUCCCAUAAGAGUAGGUAUUUCUGUAUGUUAUGUAGGCUAUUCAUAGAGUUACAAAAAUGUCUGGCGUGUAGCAGGUGCUCAAUCGGUAGUUGUUGACUGCGUAAAUGAAAGAAUGAAUUAAUUAGUAAAUGAAUGAGAAAACUGCCUUUCUGGUGACCCAAGUUUUGAAUUAAGUAUUUGGUUUUUAUAUUGGUUAUUGAUUUGAAUUUGACAUUUUAAAAUAAUUUUGAACAUGACACAUUCAAAUAACUUUGAUAACUUGAUUUUUUCACUUCACUCUCAGGUCUCAACUAUAUAGAACCAUAUUGCCAGUUGAUCCUUCCCAUUGAGGAUUUUCCCACUCACAGAUUUGAAGAUGAACCAGUCAUUUAUUUUAGUUGUGGAUAGGAGGUGCUCUCAGAGCUUGUUUCUUUCAGGAUUAUACCUUAACAAGGAACUUCCUUUAUCUAGUGCAGUAACUUAAGGAGUAAAAGUGGAGAGUAAAAAGGGAAAUUUUAGCAUUCUUUUUUCUGUGUUUCUUGUUUCAUAACGGACAAGGAAACAGCGCCACCUUCUAGAGAAAUGCUGUCUUUGAAAGACAAUAUAGUCUCAGUUAAGUUGAUGAUAGGAACCAGCUCACUGAAGUUAUGAAUAUAGAAAAAUUUGUUUAUUUACACUGCAACUUGUUCUAGAGAGCAUAGUAAAUUUUAGGAAAGAAAUAGAUGAAUAAAGAAAAUUCAUGUAGUCUAAAAAUUAGGAGGGAAAAUGGCUGGAAGAUACUGAAUUUCUGGAAGUUUGUUAUUGAGUUUUUAAAUUUUUCAUAGCUCUCAUUCUCCAGUGCUUAUUCCUUUCAUGUUCUCUUCUCGAUAUUCAAUUUUUUUGAAUUGAUGUUUAAAGUUAAGUCAUUCAAAUUGAAUAUGUAAGUAAAACACAUUUUAUUAGUCUGAGCUAUAUAAUAAUAUUUUACUCUGAAGCUCACUCUUUCUUUCUUUGAUACUUUCUUUAUUCUUUUUCUCUAUUACCUGUUAAUUUCAGUUGGAAUUCCAAGGCACCUUAGAAACAAGACAUGCCUAGAAAAUUUGACUAUGUGUCCACAAGGCUGGAACUGAAUCAAUAAUAAUUGCUUCUUUCAAUCUGAACAUGAAACAACGUGGAUCAAUGGCUGAGAAAACUGCAGAAGUUAUGGAUCUCUGGCCAGGCUCAACUCUCAGAAUGAAAUGGGAAUCUUUGAUGCAUUAUCUGGGGCCGUCUUUAUAUUGGUUUGAACUGAGCAAGCACAAUGCAAACAAAACGUGGAUGUGGGCAGAUGGAGCUACAUUCAGCAAUUGUGAAAGAAUCGAGUUUUGUGCUAUGAGUCAUGGGAGCAAAACGUGAGUAUUUAGAAGUGGAGAGGACCACGAAGAAGGAAGCCCUGGUGACUUGAAGAAAUCAUGGAGAGUUCUCCGGAUUCCCACAAACCUAUGGGGUUUAGAUUCCAGCUAAUACUUACACGGGUCUCAGAAGGACAGAGGGCAAGGGUUAACAUCUGGCUGAUAUUAAAGUCUCUGCACCUCUUAAUAUUUUACUUUGGCCUAGUUUUCUUUUCUUCGCUUUUACAUUUCCUGAUAUAAUGAGUAAUUCUCUUUUGAGUAUUAACUUGUACCAUGAACUAUGCUAAAUAUUUUUACCCCUAAAUGAUGAAGAAUUUUUAUCAUUUUUUGCUGAAAUAA
rnacentral:lncRNA from 1 species